ensembl:lncRNA
GAGAGAAUGGGAGGAGAAGGGGUAGAAAGAGCGAAGGCUUCGGGUGAGUAAAAGAUCUGGAUCAACAUAAAGACAGUCUGUAUCUAAGGGCUCAGACACUGAGUCAGACCCCCCUAGACACACACACACUCUGACAUCCCCCACAUAUGGUAUGUAAUUGUAUCUCAUAGAGCUCGCCCCUCUCUACCCCUCUCUCCGUGAUUCCUGAAGUGAAAUGAGGCAUUGAGUUAGCAGCUCCUAUUACAAUAGUGCUAGUUAACACACACACACACAGUAACACACACACGGUAACACAAAUCUAGUUGUAUUAUACAUUAUUGUUUUGUUUACUCAACUUUUCGGUCCAAACGUUAACUGAACAAAAAAAAUUGUCCCAAAUCUUUAGAAGAAUUCAGUCAAUUUUAAAUGAUGUUUUUGAUCAUAUGUUCAUUCAACACUUGGAACGAAGAGUAAACAGCAACAAAAAGCUGUGGUACCAGUUACUUUAUAAUAAUGAGAUGAAACAACUACACUGGCAAAAUCUAAACACAACAUGUACAUUUUCAUGAGCUGAAAUAAAAAAGAUCUCAGAAAUGUUCCAAACACACAAAAAGCUAAUUUCUCUCAAAUGUUGUGGACAUAUUUGUUUAGAUAAGAUAAGAUAAUCCAUUCACCUGACAGGUGUGGCAUAUCAAGAAGUUAACUAAACAGCAUGAUCAUUACAUAGGUGCACCUUGUGCUCUGGACAAUAAAAGGCAGUUUUGUCACACAACACAAUGGCACAGAUGUCUCAAGUUUUGAGGGAGUGUGCAAUUGGCAUGCUGACUGCAGGAAGAUCCACCAGAGCUGUUGGCAGAUAAUUUUAUGUUCAUUUCACUAACAUAAGCUGCCUCCAAUGUCGUUCUAGAGAAGGGGGGGGGGUGGCUGAGGAGCGUUCCUGUCUGUAAUAAAGCCAUUUUGGGGAGAAAAACUAAUUUUGAUUGGCUGAACCUGGCUCCGAAGUGGGUGGGCCUGGCUGCCAAGUGGUUGAGCCUAUGCCCUCCCAGACCCACCCAUGGCUGCGCCCCUGCCCAGUCAUGUGAAAUCCAUAAAUUAGGGACUAAUGAAUUCAUUUCAAUUGACAGAUUUUCUUACAUGAACUGUUAACCCAGCAAAAUCUUAGAAAUGGUUGUAUGUUGCGUUUAUAUUUUUGUUCAGUAUAGGUUUUUACUGUGCACACACACACACACAGUCUGUAGAUCAUCUUUAGGAGCACAUUGUGUCUCAGUUGGGGCUUUUCCUGGCGUCAGCGAAAAUAAACAAUGCCAAAAACAGAACUCUGGAAAACCCCAAAUUUCCUCUUCGGCCAUUGGUCAGUUCUCUGCUUUCCCAAUCGUCCAAUUGGCCCAUUAUAUUGUCUCCCUCGUCCCACCCCCCUGGGGUGUGCAUGUGCCAGAUAAACUGCCAUGGUCAUGGUCAGUGUGUGUGUGUGUGUGUGUGUUAUAGAGCCAUUUGAUUGGCUGAAUUGUUUAGAUGGGAGAGAAUUCUGAGGAGGUCAUGUCAACUCCAAGGUGUAGAGGGAGAGAGGGGAGGGGUGGGAGAGAGAGAGGAUGGAUGGAUGGAGGUAGAAUAGAUGGAGAGAGAUAGAAUAGAUGGAGAGAGGUAGGAUGGAUGGAGAGAGGUAGGAUGGAUGGAGAGAGGUAGAAUGGAUGGAGACAGGUAGAAUGGAUGGAGAGAGGACUGAGGUAAGAAAGAGAUGGAGUAUGAGAGGUUUGAGAGAGGGGACGGGUAGAGGGGAGGGGAAGAGAGGCAGGGGAAGAGAGGCAGGGGGAGAGAGGCAGGGGGAGAGAUGGGAGAGGAAGAGAGGGGAGGUGAAGAGAGGGAGAGGAAGAGAUAGGAGGGGAGAGAGGAAGGGGGAGAGAAGGAGGGGAAGAGAGGGAGGGGAAGAGAUGGGAAGGAAAGAAAGGCAGAGGAACAGAGGCAGAGAGGGGGGGUGUGGGAAGGGGAGAGGAAGAGAGGGGGAGUGAGGUGGGAGAGAGGGGAAGAGAGACGGAAAGAGAGAGAGGGGAAGAGAGCAAGUAGUCAAGUUCCUUUAAAAAAGUGAUUUUGGGGUGGACAUUGUGUGUGUACGUAACAUCAUAGAUAAACUGAGACUAGCCACUCUCAGCAGGGAUAACAAUUGUUUAAAUGAUUAACUAGGCAAGUCAGUUAAGAACAAAUUCUUAUUUAUUUACGGCCUCCCCCGGGCCAAACCCUAACCUGGACGAUGCUGGGCCAAUUGUGCACCGCCCUAUGAGACUCCACUACGCCACUCGAGGGCCCCAUAUAAUAGUGAUGAUGACUCUAUGACUCAGACCUCCCCAAGUCCCCCUGGAUGAGACAGA